AUUUAAAUAGCUCAUAGAGAGCGUAGCCUUGAAGCUGCUAAGGAGAUUGUCUAAUCUUUAAAUA
rnacentral:tRNA from 1 species